rnacentral:rRNA from 1 species
UGGGGAAUUUUGGACAAUGGGGGAAACCCUGAUCCAGCCAUCCCGCGUGUGCGAUGAAGGCCUUCGGGUUGUAAAGCACUUUUGGCAGGAAAGAAACGUCAUGGGUUAAUACCCCGUGAAACUGACGGUACCUGCAGAAUAAGCACCGGCUAACUACGUGCCAGCAGCCGCGGUAAUACGUAGGGUGCAAGCGUUAAUCGGAAUUACUGGGCGUAAAGCGUGCGCAGGCGGUUCGGAAAGAAAGAUGUGAAAUCCCAGAGCUCAACUUUGGAACUGCAUUUUUAACUACCGUGCUAGAGUGUGUCAGAGGGAGGUGGAAUUCCGCGUGUAGCAGUGAAAUGCGUAGAUAUGCGGAGGAACACCGAUGGCGAAGGCAGCCUCCUGGGAUAACACUGACGCUCAUGCACGAAAGCGUGGGGAGCAAACAGG